GACGAACGCUGGCGGCGUGCUUAACACAUGCAAGUCGAACGGAAAGGCCCCCACUUUUUUGGUGGGGGUGCUCGAGUGGCGAACGGGUGAGUAACACGUGGGUGAUCUGCCCUGUACUUCGGGAUAAGCUUGGGAAACUGGGUCUAAUACCGGAUAGGACCAUGGUUUAGUGUCUCAUGGUGGAAAAAUUAUUGUUUUGGUGCAGGAUGAGCUCGCGGCCUAUCAGCUUGUUGGUGGGGUAAUGGCCUACCAAGGCGUCGACGGGUAGCCGGCCUGAGAGGGUGGACGGCCACAGUGGGACUGAGAUACGGCCCAGACGCCUACGGGAGGCAGCAGUGGGGAAUAUUGCACAAUGGGCGCAAGCCUGAUGCAGCGACGCCGCGUGGGGGAUGACGGCCUUCGGGUUGUAAACUCCUUUCGUUAGGGACGAAGCCGCACCUUUUUUGGGUGUGGUGACGGUACCUUUGUUAAGAAGCACCGGCUAACUACGUG
rnacentral:rRNA from 1 species